UACGUAGGUGGCAAGCGUUGUCCGGAUUUACUGGGCGCAAAGAGCGCGCAGGCGGUCGUCCAAGUCGCGUGUGAAAGCCCCCGGCUCAACUGGGGAGGGUCACGCGAUACUGGUCGACUCGAAGGCAGGAGAGGGUAGUGGAAUUCCCGGUGUAGUGGUGAAAUGCGUAGAUAUCGGGAGGAACACCAGUGGCGAAGGCGACUACCUGGCCUGUUCUUGACGCUGAGGCGCGAAAGCUAGGGGAGCAAACGGG
rnacentral:rRNA from 1 species